rnacentral:pre_miRNA from 1 species
UUGAAGAAUUUGAAGACAUCAACUUGCAGACUUGAAGAAUUUGAAGACAUCAACUUGCAGACUUGAAGAAUUUGAAGACAUCAACU